rnacentral:ncRNA from 1 species
CAAAAUCAGCGUGGAAAGAAGACCCUGUUGAGCUUGACUCUAGUCUGACUCUGUGAAGAGACAUUGAAGUUGUAGCACAGGUCGGAGGCCGGUGGCCGCUUGCGGUGCCGCGCUGACAGUGAAAUACCACUACUUUGAUCGUUUCUUUACUUAUUCGGCCAAGCGGAAGGAACGGUCGCUCGCGUGGCCAUCUCACGGCGCGCGACGACUGUCACUUUUGGUGCAAAGCCCAACGGGACGCGUGCCCGCCGUCGGCGGCACGUCGAGCACCCGUAGCAACGCGAGGUGCCGUCCAGGGCAAUCCGCUCCGAAGUUUGACUGGGGCGGUACAUCUGUUAAACGGUAACGCAGGUGUCCCAGGGUGAGCUCAGCGAGGACAAAAGCCUCGCCUGGAGUAAACGGGCAAAAGCUCACUUGAUUUUGACUUCCCGUACGAAUAGAGACCGCGAAAGCGUGGCCUAUCGAUCCUCUUGAUUUUGCGGAUUUCACGUCAGAGGUGCAGAAAAGUUACCACAAGGAUAACUGGCUUGUGGAAGCCAAGCGCCCAUAGCGACGAUACUUUUUGAUCCUUCAAUGUCGGGUCUUCCUAUCAUUGCGAAGCAGAAUACGCCAGCCAUUGGAUUCUUCAUUCACCAAUAGGGAACGUGAGCUGGAUUUAGACCGUCGUGAGACACGUUAGUUUUACCCUACUGAUCACUGAUCGUUGCUAUAGUAAUCCUGCUCAGUAGGAGAGGAACCGCAGGACCAGACAUUUGGUUCAUGCGCUUGGGUGAAAGGCCAGUGGCGCGAAGCUACUAUCUGCAAGAUAAUGACUGAACGCCUCUAAGUCAGAAUCUUGCCUAUCGAGUGGCGACGAUACGUUGCGUCCCAGUUGUUGCAAGGCUGACGGUAGACUGGCGGUCGACCGGUCUCCACUUGAAGCCGUGCUGCCACUUGUUGACGGCAGCGCCGUCGGCUAGCAUGAACGACAUGCUGCGACGGCGGCGAAACCACUAAUUACCCAACGGGUGAAACAGCAGUCAGACAGCAGAGUUCCCCGUACACGACGGACACCGGUUGAGGUGUUGUGAUCACUACAGCAGUCCCAACACUGCGAUUUGUUGAGACUUUGCCUUUCAUUGCACUGCUC